rnacentral:rRNA from 1 species
GACGAACGCUGGCGGCGUGCCUAAUACAUGCAAGUCGAACGCAGUGGGAACGGGCGAGUAACACCUGGCUAACCUCCCAUCAGAGGGGAUAACACUUGGAAACAGGUGCUAAACCGAUACUGAUGGAUGGACCCGCGGUGCAUUAGCUCGUUGGUGAGGUAACGGCUCACCAAGGCCACGAUGCUUAGCCGACCUGAGAGGGUGAUCGGCAACUCUGGGACUGAGACAAGGCCCAGACUCCGACGGGAGGCAGCAGUAGGGAAUCUUCGGCAAGGGACGAAAGUCUGACCGAGCAACGCCGCGGGAGUGAAGAAGGUUUGCGGAUCGUAAAACUCUGUUGUUAGAGAAGCGGUAUCUAACCAGAAAGCCACGGCUAACUACGUGCCAGCAGCCGCGGUAAUUC